rnacentral:rRNA from 1 species
UACGAAGGGGGCUAGCGUUGUUCGGAAUUACUGGGCGUAAAGCGUGCGCAGGCGGCUUCUCAAGUCAGGGGUGAAAGCCCAGAGCCACAUCUGGAAUUGCCUUUGAGACUGAGUGGCUUGAGUACGAGAGAGGUGAGUGGAAUUCCCAGUGUAGAGGUGAAAUUCGUAGAUAUUGGGAAGAACACCGGUGGCGAAGGCGGCUCACUGGCUCGUAACUGACGCUCAUGCACGACAGCGUGGGGAUCAAACAGG